GAGCACAUACAUAGGAUUGAACACAACACACACCAGAAGGAACCUCCAAUCCAGUAUUACUGUAUUCCCAAACAUUGCAUGAUCACAAGUUUAUACCAGGGUAGAAUUGCUUCCAUCAAUCCUCCUAUCUCUCCUCACCGGAAGGCGAGUGUUUCCAUCCACCUGGUCUCUCCCCAUAAGGCGGUUCAUUCCUUCCACCAUGUCUUUCCUCCCCAAAAGGCGGUCCCUCCUCCCCGAAAGGUGGCCGCUCCUCCCCAUAAGGUGGUCUCUCCCCCCUGAAAGGUGGUCUCUCACCCCCGAAAGGUGGCCUAUCUUCCCCGUAAGGUGGUCUCUCGCCUCUGAAAGGUGGCCUAUCUUCCCCGUAAGGUGGUCUCUCCUCCCUGUAAGGUGGUCUCUCUUCCCCAUAAGGUGGUCUCUCCUCCCUGUAAGGUGGUCUCUCUUCCCCGUAAGGUGGCCUCUCCUCCCCAAAAGGUGGUCUCUCCUCCCCAAAAGGUGGUCUUUCUUCCCCAUAAGGCGGCUCAUUCCUCCCACCAUGUCUCUCCUCCCCAUAAGAUGGUUCAUUCCUUCCACCUAGUCUCUCCUCCCCAAGAGAUGAUUGUUUCCAUCCACCCGGUAUUUCCUCCCCAUCAGAUGACUGUUUCCAUCCACCAGAGCCCUCCUCACCAUGUUCUCCAGAACCAUGAUCGCUUCUCUGCAACAUAGAAUACAAGAGUCAAAUGCAGUAGCAAUGCACAUGGACAAAAGCUUAGCACCACCACCUUAAAAUCAAAUACUUCACUACCACAAUGCAGUGUGACAACUGACAAGGGAUGACCUCACCCCUAGUGCCUUUAUAUAGCAAACAUAUAAGUUCUAUAACUACUGAAAGCAAAUGAGCGAAAAAUAGAGAGAAGGAGCAUAUGAACUUUUGGUUACCCCAGGUAGAAA
rnacentral:lncRNA from 1 species